CACGUAGGGGGCAAGCGUUGUCCGGAUUUAUUGGGCGUAAAGAGCUCGUAGGCGGUUCGGUAAGUCGGGUGUGAAACCUCCAGGCUCAACCUGGAGACGCCACCCGAUACUGCUGUGACUCGAGUCCGGUAGGGGAGCGUGGAAUUCCCGGUGUAGCGGUGAAAUGCGCAGAUAUCAGGAGGAACACCAGCGGCGAAGGCGGCGCUCUGGGCCGGAACUGACGCUGAGGAGCGAAAGCGUGGGUAGCAAACAGG
rnacentral:rRNA from 1 species